rnacentral:lncRNA from 1 species
GCCAAACACCUUCAAAGUACUUCACAAACAUUUCUCAUAAGACAAUCUCGCACUGCUCGCUUGGAAAGGGUAAGGAAAAAUGUUUCAGGUAUAAGGGUAGACAUAUCUGGUGAUAAGAAAUAAAAGGCUCAACGUACACGGCUCAAAUUGGCAAUCUAAUGAUAUCAUUUUUCUUUGGGAAACAUGGUUAUUUGGGCCAUAGUGGUAA